rnacentral:lncRNA from 1 species
CGAAUUGGUAAACCUUGAAGGAUAAGGAUGGAGAUAAAAUCUCCUAAUCGAUGAAAAUCCAAUCUCUGGAUCGGUAAGCCCCGAAGGACCAAGAUGGAGAUAAGAUCUUUCAAUCGAUGAAAAUUCGAUCUAUGGAUUGGUAAGCCUCAAAGGGUCAAGAUGGAGAUAAGAUCUUCUGAUCAAUUAAAAUCUGAUCUCCGGAUUGAGCUUAAGCCUCGAAGGGUCAAGAUGAAGAUAAGAUCUACUAAUCGAUGAAAAUCUGAUCUCCAGAUUAAGCCUACAUCAAACAAAAGCCGAAGAGAAUAUUUGAUCUUUAGAUCAGAUGAUGAAGUCACAACUAAAAUAGAAUAUCGAUCUUUAGAUCAAGGUUAUCUUUUUCUAUUUACAAUCC